rnacentral:lncRNA from 1 species
ACAUGGGGCCUGCUCCACACCAGUCGACCUUCCUGCAGGCGUUCGCUGCAGUGAUGUCUGACAAGAGGGCGAGAUGGGAUCUGGGAGCCCAGCUGUGCGCCCAUGAGAUUCGGGAAGGCGGCUGCGUGGGCUCCAGGACCUGCCACCUGGGAGAGCUGAAGCCUGCGCCCCAGUGGAUUUCAUUAAAUGGCUCCUGUGUGUUCAUCUUUUGUUCUACUUAAUGGAGGUUACAGAGAACCCCAGGAGCCAGAUAUGGGGAAAUGCACCAUGAUGGAGCAGAAGGGAAACUCACCAGCCCCAAGCUCCAGAGCUCUUCCCAGCUGUGUGCCAUGCACCGUGCAUCCCCGAGGCUGUGUGACAGGCAGCCAGAGCAGGAGACCCAGGACAACAGAUGACCCACGUCUGCUCCCGGUGCUCCUAGCAGGCCACCUCUGCCUCUGGUUGAGCCUCAUUCCCCCUUCACCUCUGGCUCCUCUAUGACUGGAAGGGUGAGGAGGCCUAAGGAAAUGGGUCUUCAGAAAGCUCUACGCUUGUGGAGGACGGCAUUUCAUCAGUGGGGAGCAAUGUUAACACGGCUGUGCCCCGGAAGACCACUGUGUGUUCCCACAGCACAUCGUGCACGUUGGUCUCUCUGAGCCUCACCACCACUCUGUGGAACUGAUUUCCAAAGACAUAGUUUGCCCCAUUUUGCAGAUGAAGAAAGGACCCAGAGAAGUCCAGUGGUUUGCCCAUUAUUAUGCAGAACAGAGGUAUAGCUGCAGAGGAGCACAGACUCUUACCUGAGCGCUCUCUGCUCCCCGGCAACCUGCUGCGAGCCAGGUGUGACAGACCUGACAGGCACCUGAGAACCCACAGCUUACUCUCCAGCAUUUACUCAUAAGAUUGGUUUUUGUUUUCCUCAACAGCCUUAAAGAGAAAGGAAUAUUUAUAGUUUCACACUCUGAUGCAAACGACAAUCUAAAGUGUGUAUUCCCCACCCCAAAUUCUGCAGCCUUUGUAACAGAAGAGACGUCCAUGGCUGAUCUGGGCACAGGGGACAGGGCUUAGUUCCUGGGACAGCAGGAGUCCACCCAUUUGGACUGAUUUCAUGAAUCCAGGCAGGGCUCCAUCCCUCGGCCAAAAACUUCC